rnacentral:pre_miRNA from 1 species
CAACUACUCCCUCCGUUCCAAAUUACUCGUCGCUGAAAUGGAUGUAUCUAGAACUAAAAUACAUCUAGAUACAUCCAUACGUGCGACAAGUAAUUCGGAAUGAAGGGAGUAUGUG